rnacentral:rRNA from 1 species
GACGAACGCUGGCGGCGUGCUUAACACAUGCAAGUCGAACGGAGUGGCGAACGGGUGAGUAACACGUGGGUGAUCUGCCUUGCACUUCGGGAUAAGCUUGGGCAACUGGGUCUAAUACCGGAUAGUGCAAGAUGAGCUCGCGGCCUAUUAGCUUGUUGGUGAGGUAAUGGCCUACCAAGGCGUCGACGGGUAUCCGGCCUGAGAGGGUGUACGGCCACAUUGGGAAAGAGUUACGGUCCAGACUCAUACGGGAGGCAGCAGUGGAGAGUAUUGCAAGAUGUGCGGAAGCCUGAUGCGGCGACGAGGCGUGGGGGAUGAAGGCCUUCGGGUUGUAAACUCCUUUCGACAGGGACGCGGUACCUGUAUAAGAAGCACCGGCUAACUACGUGCCAGCCGCCGCGGUAAUAC